GAUGAACGCUGGCGGCGUGCCUAAUACAUGCAAGUCGAGCGAACAGACGAGGAGCUUGCUCCUCUGACGUUAUCGGCGGACGGGUGAGUAACACGUGGAUAACCUACCUAUAAGACUGGGAUAACUUCGGGAAACCGAAGCUAAUACCGGAUAAUAUAUUGAACCGCAUGGUUCAAUAGUGAAAGACGGUUUUGCUUUCACUUAUAGAUUGAUCCGCGCCGCAUUAGCUAGUUGGUAAGGUAACGGCUUACCAAGGCGACGAUGCGUAGCCGACCUGAGAGGGUGAUCGGCCACACUGGAACUGAGAAACGGUCCAGACUCCUACGGGAGGCAGCAGUAGGGAAUCUUCCGCAAAGGGCGAAAGCCUGACGGAGCAACGCCGCGUGAGUGAUGAAGGUCUUCGGAUCGUAAAACUCUGUUAUUAGGGAAGAACAAAUGUGUAAGUAACUAUGCACGUAUUGACGGUACCUAAUCAGAAAGCCACGGCUAACUACGUG
rnacentral:rRNA from 1 species